UGCCCCACCUGCUUGUUAACCUGUGUGUAUUUAGAUUCUCUGUUCAUCCCUGUUCAUUGAUGUAGACCAAAAUCAAGACUAAUCAAGCUAUGCAGAUACAAAUCGCAAUAUGGAUGUAUUGGUUCACUCAAUACCAAACCUGACCGGGAAACUUCAAUUUAAGCAAGAAAACCAGAACAUUUGGAGUUAGGCACGCAAAAUUGGAAGCAGGGACAACAUUUUGGCUCAUUGAUGUGAAUCUGUUGGUCAGGAGUGGCCACUAAUUGUCAGAUGCUGUUAAACUGCUGUGGAGAUGUGAAGCUGCCAUCUCAAGAAGCAGGAAGUGGGUGACAUUCCCGACCAGUGACAAUCCAAUUCAGAGCUGACAACUGUGACGCUGCUGCAUGACUUGCUUGUACCUCUGCUGAGUGUGGCUCCAUUCUCUCUGUAGUCCUGGAUCUCUGCGUCCUUUCUCACCAGCAGAGCUCCCAGCUGAUCCACCUGUCGCUGCAGCAAGUGGCUCAUCGCCAACAGGGGGCGUACAAGCUGGACACACACCUGAUAAUACAUAUGAGGAAGUCUGAGAGGAUGAGGGUUUGCCUGAGCUCUCACUAUCAUUUUACAAAUCCUCUGGCCACUCUCUGGAACAUCACGAGAAACCCAAGUAAUACCAUUUUGAACUUCAUACAGAUCUAUAUUAAGGAUACAAGUUGACAAUACCAGACCAAAACAACAGAUUUAAAUUACAGUGGUCUCAUCCACACAUUUGAAUUCUAAAAGUGGAGCUCACAUCAGUGACAGGUGCAGGGACGCAGUGAAAUUCCCAGUAGAAGGGCAGCCCUGCCAGCUCGCUCUUCAGCCUCAUACUAAUGUUUCCAUCUUCCUGUUGUGUCAGAGAAAUCACGGCCUCGCCAUCGGGUCGCCCAUCACUUCCUGUCAGAGUGGGCUGAAUCACUUCACACAGGUGGGAGAAGAACGCUUUGACCGGGGCUCGCAGACGUCUGUUCAGCUCCUGGGAGAAGGAAAAGGGUGCAUGUCUGUCAGCAGGAUGUGGUAUGCUGAGUCUCCAAACCAACUCUUAGCAUGGAGAUUACGGCCACUGAUGCUCACAGGAAGCCAGGGACGCUGCAGGAGGACAUCAGAAGGAACGUCACAAGCCUCCAUCGUGGCCCAGAAACCUAGUAUUUAACAAACUGAACAGAGACAACAUGUUCAAGUUAAUGCAAAUGUACACUGUUUCUCAUACACAAGUAAAAAUACUGGUGAUAAGACAA